rnacentral:lncRNA from 1 species
AUGAAAGCAAUUGUGCUGAUUAUAGACACUUAAUAAGCGCGUUUUAAGUUUCAAAAGAUUGCGACCCCCCACCCUUUGCCUCACAAUGGUUUGAUCCACUGCCAGUUCCUUAGUUGGCAAGGUAACAGAGGGGUCGUGUCUACUGUCUGAAAGGCACUCAAUGAACGUAACUGACAUAAGGUUAAUCCAGUCAAUCACGCACACACACUAGCUGAAUAUGCAGAGCUAGCGCGCAAAUAUUAACUAUUAACCUGUUAUGGCUAGGGGGCAGUAUUUUCACGGCUGGAUAAAAAACGUACCCGAUUUAAUCUGAUUAUUAGUCCUGCCCAGAAGCUAGAAUAUGCAUAUAAUUAUUAGCUUUGGAUAGAAAACACCCUAAAGUUUCUAAAACUGUUUGAAUGGUGUCUGUGAGUAUAACAGAACUCAUUUGGCAGGCCAAAACGUGAGAAGAUUCUGUACAGGAAGUACCCUGUCUGACCAUUUCUUGAACUUCUUUGCCAUCUCUAUCCAUUACAAAGGAUCUCUGCUCUAACGUGACACUUCCUACGGCUCACAUGGUCUCUCAGAGCCCGGGAAAAAGCUGAAUGACGUAAUUCAAAGCCCUGGCUGAAACACACGAGCGCUUUUGCUAAGUGGUCUAUCAGAGGACAAAGGGCUUAGGCUCGUGCACUGGCCGCCCCCAUCUUUCUGUUUUUCCCUCUAUUUGCCGAAACACAGAUUCCCGGUCGGAAUAUUAUCGCUUUUUUACGAGAAAAAUGGCAUAAAAAUUGAUUUUAAACAGCGGUUGACAUGCUUCGAAGUACGGUAAUGAAAUAUUUAGAAAUCUUUUGUCACGAAAUGCGCCAUGCGCGCGACCCUUAUUUACCAUUCGGAUAGUGUCUAGAACGCACGAACAAAACGCCGCUAUUUGGAUAUAACGAUGGAUUAUUUUGGACCAAACCAACAUUUGUUAUUGAAGUAGAAGUCCUGGGAGUGCAUUCUGACGAAGAACAGGAAAGGUAAUCAAACUUUUCUAAUAGUAAAUCUGAUAUUGGUGAGUGCUAAACUUGGUGGGUGUCUAAAUAGCUAGCCCUGUGAUGCCGGGCUAUCUACUGAGAAUAUUGCAAAAUGUGCUUUCACCGAAAAGCUAUUUUAAAAUCGGACAUAUCGAGUGCAUAGAGGAGUUCUGUAUCUAUAAUUCUUAAAAUAAUUGUUAUGUUUUUUGUGAACGUUUAUCGUGAGUAAUUUAGUAAAUUCACCGGAGGUUUGCGGGGGGUAUGCUAGUUCUGAACGUCACAUGCUAAUGUAAAAAAGCUGGUUUUUGAUAUAAAUAUGAACUUGAUUGAACAAAACAUGCAUGCAUUGUAUAACAUAAUGUCCUAGGGUUGUCAUCUGAUGAAGAUCAUCAAAGGUUAGUGCUGUAUUUAGCUGUGGUUUUGUUUUUGUGACAUUAUAUGCUAGCAUGAAAAAUGGGUAGUCUGAUUAUUUCUGGCUGGGUACUCUGCUGACAUAAUCUAAUGUUUUGCUUUCGCUGUAAAGCCUUUUUGAAAUCGGACAGUGUGGUUAGAUUAACGAGAGUCUUGUCUUUAAAAUGCUGUAAAAUAGUCAUGUUUGAAAAAUGGAAGUUUUCGGAUUUUAGAGUAAUUUGUAUUAGCGGAACAUCUAGAUGUAAGAGGUUAAGCUAGCUAGUACCUAUUCCAUUUAUGUGGCGUCGUCAAAGAUGGAAUCUUUCCUAUCGUCAAUUUAUUCCAAGAUCAGCAUGCAGAUGAUGUAAGUUAGUGCUUCAAAGUCCCUGUGAUAAGGUUAGCGAUAAACUGAAGUCCAAACUGAACAGAACUACACUCUCUUCUACCAUUGCCUUAAAUAUAUUUAAUGGUCUCGUUGCAAAAGCUAAAUUGUCGCAAGGGAACUUUUAUUUAUUUAAUUUCACCUUUAUUUAACACGGGUAGCAAAGAUUAUAGCAAACACCACUGAAACUGAACUGGUGCUCGCUAGCUUUGCAAAUUCAGCUAUUGUUGGAAGCCAGCCAAUAUGAAACAAACUAUUAAAAUUACAAAAGGUUGCAGCAUAUGUUGUGUAAAUGGUGAACUCAUACUGCUGUCAACUCUUGUCAUUUUAAUCCGUUUCACAUUUGCUAGCUACCUUUUAGAUCGAAGCCCAUAUAGAAUGAUUGAAGAUGAUAGAAGCCCAUCUCCAGCUGUAAAUAACCUACACACUGUGUGUGUGUGUGUGUAGCCAGCCAGCCAGCCAGGUAGAAAAAUGGCAGAAAAAUAAGACGGACAUCAGAGUAUUUUUCAGUACACCAAAACGCAAAGCAGAGCAGGCAACAGAUGGCACACAGACAGCAGAGUUGGGGACAGCUAUGCAGGGACAGACUGGCAGAGACAGGGAGUCUCAGGUAAGUUUGUUGAGUCUUUGUUUGGCAACAUUAUGAAAGGUUCUCAAUUUUUUUCACUUGUAAAAUAGGAACAUAAUUGGAAAAUGCCAUGGAUACCCCCACUCUCAACUUAAACUGGUGACUGAACUAAGAUUUGUUAAAGGCAAUGGUAUUGCUGUUGUGAUUAGUUGUGUAGUUUUGGGUACCGGUAGUUAGGAGUACGGCAAACACCUUAUUUCUUUGGUUCCUCAAUAUACAUUUACCAUAUUACAAUGUAGGCUAUGUGUUACAGCACUACUUUUGGUGUCCCCCUCAGGAAUUGCUCUUUAGAAAAUUUCAUGUAAUUGUCCCCUCCAAAGUUGAUAUCAGAUUUUCGCCCCUGGUGACAGCCCACUCCCGUUUUACACCUUGGGCAAAAUGUUGAAUAUUUAGAAUUGAUCUUGUACAGUCUCUCUGGUGUAAAGUAGACCCUAUGUAAAAUAUUGAAUUGCAUCAACUUGUGCCUUGUGUUAAAUGAAAGACGCUGAGCAUCUAAAAAGAGCUUUCCCCAUUUCUUAUCCUCAAAAAUGAGACCAAGGUCAUCAUGCCACUUCAUGCAAGCUUUCAGUGGUUCAUCAUUCCCCAGCUUGAAGCCAAGAGUACAUGUAGGAAAUGAAACCUUUUACCCCUUUCCUUUCCAGCCACAGUUUAUCAGUUUUAGGUUUACUCAUGGGCUGAAUCCUACCUCCCUGCUGAGUGGCAAGAUAAUGCCUAACCUGUAGGUACUUGAAGAAAAGAGUUUGAGAAAUGAAGAAAUCUUCCUAUUAAGUUGUUUGAAAAAAACUUUGGGAAUAGGAAAGGCCAAGGUUUGAAAAAGGUACAAGAAUUUUGGUAAUAUAUUCAUCUUUACAGAAUUGACCCGCCCAAUAAGAGAAAUUGGUAAAUCCCGUCAUCUAUCCAAUUCUUCCCCAACCUUUUUGAGAAGUGGAGUAUAUAUAGUUCAGUUGAUAUGUCUUAAUAAUUUCAGAAGGAAUUUGCAAUCCAAGAUAUGUCAUUUUCUGUGGUUUCCAAGAAAAUGGUUGGUCUAAGAUUGGGUUCUGCAUAGCUGCCCUGUUAAAAGGCAUAAUUAUACUCUUCGAUAGGUUUAUUUUAUAUCCUGAAAAGGUCCCAUAUUCUUUCAGGAUGUCAACUAAUGUCCGGAGUGAAAUUUCUGUUUUGGUGAAGUAAAGCAAAAUGUCAUUGGCAUAUAGCGAGACCAGAUGUUCACGCCCACCUAUAUGAACACCAUGAAUGGAUGGAUGAGAUCUAAAAGCUUCUGCCAGUGGCUCUAUAGCCAAAGAAAAAGGGAGCAGACUAGCGGGACAACCCUGCCUUGUGCCACGUGAUAGGGAGAACUGUGAGGAAAUGUUUCCAUUAGUCAGGAUCUGAGCUACCAGACAUUUGUACAGUAAUCUAAUCAGGCCUACAUACUUAGGUCCAAUAUUCAUCCUCUGUAAAACUUCAAACAGGUAGUUCCAUUCUAUGCGGUCAAAAGCUUUUUCCGCAUCUAAUGAAGCCGCCACUACACAUUCUUGGUCAUUCUCUACAUAAUGCAUAAUAUUACAUUAUAUUCUGAUAUUAUCAGCAGAUGAGCGGUUUCUUACAAAGCCUGUUUGGUCCAUAUCAACCAAGUCCGGUAGAACCUUAUCCAGUCUAAGAGCUAUGAGUUUCGCAAGAAUCUUAUAUGAAGUGUUCAAUAGAGAUAUUGGUUUAUACGACCCACAAAGCAUAGGAUCUUUCCCAGGUUUUAACAAAACUGUGAUCAGUUCCUGUUCAAGUGUGUCUGGGAGCUUUGCUGUCUCUAUGGCAUAAUUAAACAUACUGCAAAGAGGCUCAAAUAGUUUGGGUAAAAAGGAUCGCUAGAAUUCAAUAGGGAAUCCGUCUAACCCUGGUGACUUUCCCCCAGCAGUGUUGAAAAUGGAUUCCCUAAUUUCCUCUGAUGUAAUCUCUUUCUCCAAGUGCUCUCUAUCCUCAUCAGUUAAAGUUUGUACAUUGAGUUUGUUCAAAAACUCAUGCAUUGUGGCAGGGGCAUCCCCUUCAGACUUGUACAAUGUUUCAUAAAACUCCCUGAAGACUAGAUUAAUUUCCUCAGGACUGUGAACAACUGUGUUAUUGGGUAGCUUAAUAGAGCUAAUAACUCUAAUAGCAUCCUCUCGUCUUAUCUUGGGUUCUGCAUAGCUGCCCUGUUAAAAGGCAUAAUCACAGUCCCGUAUGGCUCAGUUGGUAGAGCAUGGUGUUUGCAACGCCAGGGUUGUGGGUUCGAUUCCCACGGGGGACCAGUCCCGGGGAAAAAAGAGAGAAAAAGAAGCAUGAAAUGUAUGCAUUUGCUUCUGUAAGUCACUCUGGAUAAGAGUGUCUGCUAAAUGACUAAAAUGUAAAUCUGCCAAGCAAGCAACUUUCCUGCUUUAUCUCCAUGUUCGUAGUGGUUUUGUUUUGUUCUCCUAAGAGCAUUUUCUGCUUUAUGGGUCGUCAGGGUGUUAUAUUCCAAUCACUUUGAGUCAAAUUUUUGUAGAGUUGAGUCUUCAAAUGUUACACUAUGUUCAUUUUCCAGAUCUCUAAUUUCAUUCUCCAACAAAUCUACUUGAGCCUUAUACAUCUUACGAGCACCUGAACUAAAGGAUAUGAUUUGCCCCCUCAGAUAUGCAAGGAGAGCUUCCCAUAAAAUUAGGGGGGAGGCAGAGUUGUUAUUGGUGCUAAAAAAUAUGUCUAUAUGAGUGUUCAGAAAUGUUACAAAUGUGGGAUUAUUUAGCAAGUAUGUGCCAAACCUCCAUCUUCUUCUCUACUGACUGGUACUGAAGCCAGCAGGGUAGAAUGAUCUGAUAUACAUCUUGGUAAGUACUUACACCCAGUAGUUAAACUUCCCUUGGCUGCAGGAAUAAGAAAUAAGUAAAUUCUAGAGUAACUGUCAUGGACAGGGGAGUAAAAUGAGUAUUCUUUAACCUUUUGGUUGUGAAAUCUCCAUAAGUCUACGAGUCCAUAGUGUUUCAUUUCUGCUUUUAACAUUUUAGCUGCCUGUGUGAGGUUGAUACUAUUAGAGGAAGAUCUAUCACUGGAAGGGUCCAGUACCAAGUUAAAAUCCCCUGCCAUAAUUAUCUCUGAUGAUGGGCACAUUAACUUCAAAAAGAUGUCUUGGUAAGAUUUAGGAUCAUCAUGGUUAGGCCCAUACACAUUCACAUUGGUAAUGGGCUCAGUGCUAAAGAAACCUUGAAUGAUCACAAACCUACCCCCUUUGUCUUUAAUCUGAGAUUGUAUCUGAAAGGGGCAAAUCUUAUUAAUGAGUAUGGCCACCCCUCUUGCCCGAGAGGUGAAAGAUGAAUAGUACACUUGGCCCACCCACUCUCUCUUCAGUUUAUCAGGCUCAGAGUCAGUCAGGUGUGUCUCCUGAAGAAGAGCUAUAUCAACCUUAUGCUGCUUUAGAUAAUACAGAAUGCAUUUGCGCUUGACUGGGCAUUUAGUACCCCUAAUGUUAAGUGUCAUAAAAGUAUAGUUAUUAGGUGCCGACAUCUUUAAAGAAAAUAAGAAAUAGGGAAAAGGAAAGAAUCAAAAUUG